ensembl:lncRNA
CAGGUAGCUAACUGAAACAACAAAAACAGAGAUCCUGGGUGAGAAGUCAGGAAAGCCAGCUCACACAGAAGCGUCCGCACGAGAGCCACGCGAAGCAGCACAGGACGGAAGCAGCGGGCAUCUCUGAGGAAGCAGGGCCUCAAGGUUCCAACUGUCAAGAUGGUCCGGGAAGAAAUGGUCUCGCUCUCCACACCCCCAAAGUUGGCCCUAGAGAGACCCUCACAAACCAUCUGCUCAUCCCCAGCGAAUGGAAAGCGCUAAUAGCAGAAGCCAUCUACCUCGUGAAACAUGAUUUGCUACUGCGUUUUCAUUGCAUCAAACAUUGUGUUGACUCUCAUACAGCUAGAAGGCAAGAAAGUCGUCUGCGCCUGUAGGAGAGAGGGGAAAUAAAUAUGUAUAUUCAUCUCUAUGGCUUAUUCAUUAUUCCAGUGCUGCUGGAAUGCAAAAUACGAUUUCAGCUCCAAUAGUUUUAUUAGCUCACUGAUUACUGUCCAUCAUAAUGAGUGAGGUGGUGUGGCCACGGGUUUAGUUUACUGGAGCUGCAAUCUUUUGCUGUGGAAGUUUACAGACUAGGUCAUAGGCAUCACACUGAAAAUGGUAUUUCUGACCAAUGAUACUCAUUUUAAACAGGAGACAUUCGGUCCCUAAACUGAUUUGUUAGAGCUGGUACAAUGAAUUAAUAAAUACUUACCUGCCUUCAAGAAAUAGAAACUCCCUAUCACAUUCAAGCCUAUGCUAAUUGGAGGGAAAGUGUUAUUCCAUGAUGGAACUAAUUAUAUGUCAUCUGUUUCUCUCUGAUGACUAAAUGGACAGACAGAU